CUGGCAACACCAAAGUGCAAAGGGGGAAUGGGGUUCCGAGGACCCCAUCAGUUUAAUCUUGCGCUUCUUGGGAAGCACGGUUGGCGUCUUAUGACUAAGCCUAAUUCUCUUUGUGCAAGGGUACUGAAGGGCCGCUACCACCCUAAUACAGAUUUUAUGCAUGCUCCUGUUCCCAAAUUGGCGUCAGCAACUUGGCGAGCUAUCAUUGCUAGUAGGGGAGCAUUGCAAGCGGGUCUUAUUAAGAGAGUGGGAGACGGGAAUUCCAUUGAUGUGUGGACUGAUAAGUGGAUUCCUGGGAUCAUCUCUAUGACACCAUUGCUGAAGCCACCGAACACUAAUGUUCGGACAGUUUCCGAUCUCAUCGAUCCUGAGAACUGGUCGUGGAGGCAGGAGUUGAUUCGAACAACCUUCAUCACCCCUAAUCCUGACGCCAUCCUAAACAUCCCAAUCAGGAGGGAGGGGGGAAGUGAGGACUUUUAUGCUUGGGCCUUUGAAAGAUCAGGCAACUACACUAUCAAAUCGGCUACCGUGCUCUAG
rnacentral:rRNA from 1 species